rnacentral:rRNA from 1 species
UGGGGAAUUUUGGACAAUGGGCGAAAGCCUGAUCCAGCCAUGCCGCGUGCAGGAUGAAGGCCUUCGGGUUGUAAACUGCUUUUGUACGGAACGAAAAGACUCUGGUUAAUACCUGGGGUCCAUGACGGUACCGUAAGAAUAAGCACCGGCUAACUACGUGCCAGCAGCCGCGGUAAUACGUAGGGUGCAAGCGUUAAUCGGAAUUACUGGGCGUAAAGCGUGCGCAGGCGGUUAUAUAAGACAGAUGUGAAAUCCCCGGGCUCAACCUGGGAACUGCAUUUGUGACUGUAUAGCUAGAGUACGGCAGAGGGGGAUGGAAUUCCGCGUGUAGCAGUGAAAUGCGUAGAUAUGCGGAGGAACACCGAUGGCGAAGGCAAUCCCCUGGCCUGUACUGACGCUCAUGCACGAAAGCGUGGGGGAGCAAACAGGAUUAGAUACCCCUGGUAGUCCACGCCCUAAACGAUGUCAACUGGUUGUUGGGUCUUCACUGACUCAGUAACGAAGCUAACGCGUGAAGUUGACCGCCUGGGGAGUACGGCCGCAAGGUUGAAACUCAAAGGAAUUGACGGGGGUCAUAGCUG